CAAAUACUCCCUCCGUCCAGAAAUACUUGUCAUCAAAAUGGAUAAAAGGAAAUAUAUCUAGACGUAUUUUAGUUUUAGAUACAUCUCUUUUUAUCCAUUUUGAUGACAAGUAUUUUCGGACGGAGGGAGUAGAAA
rnacentral:pre_miRNA from 1 species